UGGAUUACUAAAAAGGAAUCCUCGUGACAGGCUGGAUUUUGCGGAUUUCUUUGCCCACUCCUUCUUGAUUGGCAGAGUUCCCCAUCGUGCAUCUACCCCAGUUGCUGUCCCAGUUCACCAACGUAAACACUCUGGAAGUCCUCAUGGAACAAGGUCACCCUCAUAUUCCCCUGUAAGUGUGCCAUCAUUAUAUAACAUUAUAUUGUUUGUCCUUAUAGAAGGGUUGGUGCACAGUCCAAGCAGCUGUCUAGAGAGGGAAGGUUAUCUGAGUAGUCAAGACUCCCUUAAGGUUUGGCUCCAAUUGUCUGCAGGAUGAUUUUCUCUCCAGCAGAUAGACUUCAAGUUUGUCUAUCCAUUAAGCUAACUGCCUCCCGGUUAGCAUAAUGGAUAGAGCGCUGGA